rnacentral:rRNA from 1 species
GAGUGGCGAACGGGUGAGUAACGCGUGAGGAACCUGCCUCAAAGAGGGGGACAACAGUUGGAAACGACUGCUAAUACCGCAUAAGCCCACGGCUCGGCAUCGAGCAGAGGGAAAAGGAGCAAUCCGCUUUGAGGUGGCCUCGCGUCCGAUUAGCUAGUUGGUGAGGUAACGGCCCACCAAGGCGACGAUCGGUAGCCGGACUGAGAGGUUGAACGGCCACAUUGGGACUGAGACACGGCCCAGACUCCUACGGGAGGCAGCAGUGGGGAAUAUUGCACAAUGGGGGAAACCCUGAUGCAGCGACGCCGCGUGGAGGAGGAAGGUCUUCGGAUUGUAAACUCCUGUUGUUGAGGAAGAUAAUGACGGUACUCAACAAGGAAGUGACGGCUAACUACGUGCCAGCAGCCGCGGUAAAACGUAGGUCACAAGCGUUGUCCGGAAUUACUGGGUGUAAAGGGAGCGCAGGCGGGAAGACAAGUUGGAAGUGAAAUCCAUGGGCUCAACCCAUGAACUGCUUUCAAAACUGUUUUUCUUGAGUAGUGCAGAGGUAGGCGGAAUUCCCGGUGUAGCGGUGGAAUGCGUAGAUAUCGGGAGGAACACCAGUGGCGAAGGCGGCCUACUGGGCACCAACUGACGCUGAGGCUCGAAAGUGUGGGUAGCAAACAGGAUUAGAUACCCUGGUAGUCCACACUGUAAACGAUGAUUACUAGGUGU